AUUCCAUGGUUCGGACAUUUUCUCAUCAACUCAUUAAAUCUAUUCCAUCCCUCAUGAUAGCUUUCUCACUCUUUUUGUUAAAAAGUUUGAAUUUUCAAUCUGAUUUU
rnacentral:snoRNA from 1 species